rnacentral:sRNA from 2 species
AUUUUCAUCGAGUUUACUUUUUCAUAUUUAUUUCUCUUUUCGUUGUGUUUUUAGGGCAAGCCGCUAUCAUUGCAGUGGUUUGUUCUGUUCAUGCGAUGGUUUUCGCAGGAACUUUGGAAGCUUGUAUCGACUUCUAAAUGCGGUUAGUUGACCGAUUUUUGCGACGCCGGUUUCGGGAUAUCUACGAUUUAUAUCUACGCCGGACACAGCUCCCCUUGUCCCUGAUGGAGAAGUAGAAGAAACGACAAACGUACUCAGGGUAAACACGUGGUAUUAGCGGCCAUCAGGACUGCCAAGAGAAGAAGAAGAAGAAGAAGAAGAAGAAGAAGAAGAAGAAGAAAAGAGAGGUGGAUAAAAGAGCAUAUUUUGAUGCUAGGUGUUAGGGAUUGGGCUUGAAUAGCAUUGAGAAGGAUGCGCUACUAUCUACCAAGAAUUUUAUGUAGUUAUGACUUUUUGUUGCACUUUAAUUCCUUUUAUAUCCCAUUGCUAUUACUUCCUAAUUGACAAUUAUAUGCGUGAAUCUCUGAAAUUGCAUAACUUAUUACUUUCUGUGGGUGUAUUCGUACAACAAAAAUUAUCAAAAGAACCCCCAAUCAAUACCGUCCAUACCCGUCAUUGCGGUUACCAUUAUAUCCAUUCUGUCCAUGGUGAUAAGGUCCACCACGGCCUCCACCCCUGUAAGAUCCGCCACCUCGGCCUCGACCACCCCCUCCGCCUCCAGAGUUACUGCGGCCUCC